AUUGAACGCUGGCGGCAGGCCUAACACAUGCAAGUCGAACGGCAGCGGGGGAUAGCUUGCUAUCCUGCCGGCGAGUGGCGGACGGGUGAGUAAUGCAUGGGGAGCUGCCCAGUCGAGGGGGAUAACAACUGGAAACGGUUGCUAAUACCGCAUACGCCCUACGGGGGAAAGGUGGGGAACUUCGGUCCUACCGCGAUUGGAUGCGCCCAUGUGGGAUUAGCUAGUUGGUGAGGUAACGGCUCACCAAGGCGACGAUCUCUAGCUGGUCUGAGAGGAUGACCAGCCACACUGGAACUGAGACACGGUCCAGACUCCUACGGGAGGCAGCAGUGGGGAAUAUUGCACAAUGGGGGAAACCCUGAUGCAGCCAUGCCGCGUGUGUGAAGAAGGCCUUCGGGUUGUAAAGCACUCUCAGUCAGGAGGAAGGGGCGAUGCCUAAUACGCAUUGUCAUUGACGUUACCCACAGAAGAAGCACCGGCUAACUCCGUGCCAGCAGCCGCAGUAA
rnacentral:rRNA from 1 species